CAGCACGGGCGGGGACGAGGUUGCUAUGCAAAUGACGCGGCGGCCCGGUAGCCCCCUUUACCCAGGGGCCCUCUGGUUGCCAAAACAGACCAUUCCCCAGAACAGUCGCCUAGAAACGGGCGCUGUCAUAGCAGCCUCUGUAGCUGCGAGCCAGCCACGCUGCCAGGAGGAGCUGGGUCGGGGUGUUCAGACCUCCUCAGCAUCCCCCCCACCUCACACACACACCGAUCUCCACCUCAGGGAAGGGAGUGGUGGCUUGGGCUCCUCCUUGGAGCAGGGGAGGGCGCUAAUUGGAUUGGAACGCUCCAGAAACACAUCAGCUGCCCCUCCCUGGGGGAAAGGGGUUGAUGGGGGGAGGCUGCAGACAGUCUUUGUGAUGGGUCUCAGCUUCCCCUCCCCGCAGCCUCCCCCGACCUGGUCCUCACCAGCCUCUGCCCACCCAGCGCCAUCCUAGGGCACAAUGGCAAGCUCGCUGUGGCGUGGAGGAGGCGGACAUCCAUCAGAUAAUCACCACAGUGAAAUCCAGCCAUGAUAAGGAGGGUUAACAAAAAAAAAUGGAGCAGCAGGCUAUUCAGCAGUGGGGAGGGCCUGGCCUGUGGGCCGGAUGGACAGCCAAGUCAGGAUGAGCUGGAGAGCAGGUUGGCCUGGUCAGAACCGGGAGGAGACUGGAGAGGCGGCUCAGCAUGCCCUGGAAGAAGGCUAGCCUGUGGGAUGCUGUUUCAGGUUUAUAGAAAAAUCGCAGAGAUCGUACAGAGAGUUCCAGCAAACCUUUCAUCCAACUUCUCCCGAGGUUAACAUCUUGCAUAACCAGGUCCGGGUGUGACCUCCUGCAUUCCUAACAAGUUCCCGGUUGCUGUUGGACCCCACUUUGAGGAGUAAGGGGCUAGGGGACAGGUGGGAAUACAGAGUUGAAUAAGACUCAACCCCUGCUGUCAUCACUCAUGUAUGCAAGCUCUCUAUGUACCUGAUGCGGAGUCUUACAGGAGUCACAGUUCCCAAGAGGAAGUGGUAUUUUCAGGCAAAAUGAAGUUUUCUGUUUAAAGUCUGACUUUCUGAUGGUGGGGCUUCAGUGAUCUAAGAGCAAGGCGUUUGGAGGACAGCAAAGCCUGCUAGUUGCCUUGAAACCAAACCCCAGAACCCUCCUCUGGUCUGCCUUGAGGGGAGGCUGUAAGGAUGGCCGGAGGUGGGGGAGGUAGACGUGUCUGGAGUGGAGGAGCCAGGACACUUCCCAGACAGAGCACUGUAUCACCAACAUAUUUAGAAGGAAUUAGAGUGAAAUGGACAUUUAUGUUGUCAGUCAAAACAGUGACCGAGUUUUUGUUUCCCUUCCAAAAACUGCUGCACCCUUCCAUCCUAAGGGAGGAGAAGGAGAGAGAAGGAACCUCAACAAACGCUAUCAAACGGCCAACACCGCUGACCUCCGGGCGCAUGGGGGAAGGGAGAGUCAGAGCUGGGAGACGAGGGCAUUUGAUUUUUACCUCUCAUCCUCUGUACAUUUCAAAAAGAGAGAGCAGUACGGGUGAUUUUUAUUUUGCGCCUAUGUGGGUUUUUGGGUAGUCCUCAACUUUUUUAUUUUGCAUACAACAUACUUUUGUAAUCAAGGGAAGACAGGUCAUAAUGAAAAAACCAAUCCAAAGUGGUUGGCCACUGGGUGGCCAUCCCACUGUCCCCACCUGCAGCUGCGCACCACCCUUGCCCCAGGGCUGGAAUCCCUGGUCUCGUGGCUGCCCACACUUGGCAGGGGUGGGAGUAGGGCAGAGAGCGAGCAGCCUUGGUCCUCCGCUGCGCCCAGUCUGGCCCCUCUGGGCAAAUCUCUGACCCCUGGGCGGCAGACCCCGCCGGCUGAUAUUGCUGUAGUGGCCUUGGCUAUCUCCCACGCCUCCCAGCCGGGUGCCAGCUGCCAGGCCUCCCUGCUCAGCUGGACUGCGGCCCGCCCCCUUCUGACCAGCCUUUCCCGGGGCUGGGAUCAUCCUAGCGUUUCAGCUGCUGACACAUGGCACUUGGCUGGGUCGUCGAUGCUGCAACUCUGAUCUCAAGAAAGGCACCUCCAGCCUUCACCCAGACUGUCCGGAGUCUGUUUGGCCGUGAAGACCAAGGCUCAUCCUCCCAGUCAGCAGGUGAGCAUAGCACAAGGUCAACAGAGACCCCGGAGAGAGAGAGUGAAUCUGGCCCUGGCUUUGCGAGGCCCCCUGCAAAAGCCUCACAGAUUUUGGGGUCCUGAGACGCCUGCUUCCAGUAAUUGUGAUCCCAGCUGGGGGACCUCAAGCAUGUCCCUCCUCUGUAACAUGGAGAUGGCAAGGAUCUCUUAUAUCCAGGGACUCUGUCAGGAGCAAAUAGGUUAAUGUAUGGGAAGAUGCUCGUGAGUUGAAGGGACUUAAAUGGGAUUUUCUGUGAAAACCCAUUCUGGCGCUUUGCGAAGUUUAAAAAAAUCCACUAGUUCUCAAGAGCUUGUUACCCACCGACUCUGUGUGCCUAGUACCUCAACUUAAUUCCCCCAGCAAGUCAAGACAUAGAAGACGCAUAUGGCUCGUCACCAAGGAACUUACACUCAACUGGGGGAAAUGGAGCGCUCACACCAGAAGUCUGUUUUGUUUCUGUCAGUGAUUGGGUGCUGGAAUCAGGACACGUU